AAAGAGGGGAAAGAAAAAAAGAACAUUUUCCUUCGUUAAAGGGUGGCAGCUCCUUUUCUUCUCUGACUGAAGUACAAAGAAAAGAAAAAAAGAAAAGUCACGUGGGAAGUGACGUGAGGUAAAAAAAAAAAAAAAAAGAAAGGAAGAGGAACUGUUCAUCUUCUUCGUGAAGUCCCUCACCGGUGUCCACUGCUACCCGUCUCCUCCGUUCGCCGACGCCCACGACUCGGCGCCCGACGUCCUCGGCUCUAGUCACGACUCGCGCAAGCCGAGCCCCCGCUCGCUGUCCCCGAGAAGCACCCGACGCCUUUGCGGCUCCGCCUUGACCGCCCGUUGCAGCAACCUGCACUGACCCCAUCUGCUCUGCCUGCAGCUGCACCACCGCCCAGUAGCCCGAGGCGCUGCUGCUGUUCUCCACCAGACGACCCAACGCCGUUGUCUCCUGCUCGCCUGUCACCGCGCCAAAGUGCCGCUCGAUUCGAGCACCCCUGCGCCGGAGCCCGACAUCGCCGCCGCGCCUGCAUCAGCCACGCCUUCGGCCGCUCACCACCGAGCGUCCGUUCUUCGCCAGCCC
rnacentral:lncRNA from 1 species